rnacentral:tRNA from 1 species
AGUUGGUUAGUUAUAAGGAUAACUUGUGUUUUGAAAGCAUAUCUAAGAGGUUCGAUUCCUCUACCAGCUU